rnacentral:rRNA from 1 species
UCAUCUCCGGGGGUAGAGCACUGUUUCGGCUAGGGGGCCAUCCCGGCUUACCAACCCGAUGCAAACUGCGAAUACCGGAGAAUGUUAUCACGGGAGACACACGGCGGGUGCUAACGUCCGUCGUGAAGAGGGAAACAACCCAGACCGCCAGCUAAGGUCCCAAAGUCAUGGUUAAGUGGGAAACGAUGUGGGAAGGCCCAGACAGCCAGGAUGUUGGCUUAGAAGCAGCCAUCAUUUAAAGAAAGCGUAAUAGCUCACUGGUCGAGUCGGCCUGCGCGGAAGAUGUAACGGGGCUAAACCAUGCACCGAAGCUGCGGCAGCGACACUGUGUGUUGUUGGGUAGGGGAGCGUUCUGUAAGCCUGUGAAGGUGGCCUGUGAGGGUUGCUGGAGGUAUCAGAAGUGCGAAUGCUGACAUAAGUAACGAUAAAGCGGGUGAAAAGCCCGCUCGCCGGAAGACCAAGGGUUCCUGUCCAACGUUAAUCGGGGCAGGGUGAGUCGACCCCUAAGGCGAGGCCGAAAGGCGUAGUCGAUGGGAAACGGGUUAAUAUUCCCGUACUUGGUGUUACUGCGAAGGGGGGACGGAGAAGGCUAUGUUGGCCGGGCGACGGUUGUCCCGGUUUAAGCGUGUAGGUGUGUGUUCCAGGUAAAUCCGGUUCACUUUAACACUGAGGCGUGAUGACGAGGCACUACGGUGCUGAAGCAACAAAUGCCCUGCUUCCAGGAAAAGCCUCUAAGCAUCAGGUAACAUCAAAUCGUACCCCAAACCGACACAGGUGGUCAGGUAGAGAAUACCAAGGCGCUUGAGAGAACUCGGGUGAAGGAACUAGGCAAAAUGGUGCCGUAACUUCGGGAGAAGGCACGCUGACACGUAGGUGAAGUGAUUUACUCAUGGAGCUGAAGUCAGUCGAAGAUACCAGCUGGCUGCAACUGUUUAUUAAAAACACAGCACUGUGCAAACACGAAAGUGGACGUAUACGGUGUGACGCCUGCCCGGUGCCGGAAGGUUAAUUGAUGGGGUCAGCGCAAGCGAAGCUCCUGAUCGAAGCCCCGGUAAACGGCGGCCGUAACUAUAACGGUCCUAAGGUAGCGAAAUUCCUUGUCGGGUAAGUUCCGACCUGCACGAAUGGCGUAAUGAUGGCCAGGCUGUCUCCACCCGAGACUCAGUGAAAUUGAACUCGCUGUGAAGAUGCAGUGUACCCGCGGCAAGACGGAAAGACCCCGUGAACCUUUACUAUAGCUUGACACUGAACAUUGAGCCUUGAUGUGUAGGAUAGGUGGGAGGCUUUGAAGUGUGGACGCCAGUCUGCAUGGAGCCGACCUUGAAAUACCACCCUUUAAUGUUUGAUGUUCUAACGUGGACCCGUAAUCCGGGUUGCGGACAGUGUCUGGUGGGUAGUUUGACUGGGGCGGUCUCCUCCUAAAGAGUAACGGAGGAGCACGAAGGUUGGCUAAUCCUGGUCGGACAUCAGGAGGUUAGUGCAAUGGCAUAAGCCAGCUUGACUGCGAGCGUGACGGCGCGAGCAGGUGCGAAAGCAGGUCAUAGUGAUCCGGUGGUUCUGAAUGGAAGGGCCAUCGCUCAACGGAUAAAAGGUACUCCGGGGAUAACAGGCUGAUACCGCCCAAGAGUUCAUAUCGACGGCGGUGUUUGGCACCUCGAUGUCGGCUCAUCACAUCCUGGGGCUGAAGUAGGUCCCAAGGGUAUGGCUGUUCGCCAUUUAAAGUGGUACGCGAGCUGGGUUUAGAACGUCGUGAGACAGUUCGGUCCCUAUCUGCCGUGGGCGCUGGAGAACUGAGGGGGGCUGCUCCUAGUACGAGAGGACCGGAGUGGACGCAUCACUGGUGUUCGGGUUGUCAUGCCAAUGGCACUGCCCGGUAGCUAAAUGCGGAAGAGAUAAGUGCUGAAAGCAUCUAAGCACGAAACUUGCCCCGAGAUGAGUUCUCCCUGAGACUUAGAGUCUCCUGAAGGAACGUUGAAGACGACGACGUUGAUAGGCCGGGUGUGUA